rnacentral:rRNA from 1 species
CGAGGAGUCUUGCGCAAUGGGGGAAACCCUGACGCAGCAACGCCGCGUGAGUGAGGAAGGUCUUCGGGUCGUAAAGCUCUGUCAGGCGGGAAGAAAUGCAUGGAGGUGAACAGCCGCCAUGCUUGACUGUACCGCCAGAGGAAGCACCGGCUAACUCCGUGCCAGCAGCCGCGGUAAUACGGGGGGUGCAAGCGUUGUUCGGAAUCAUUGGGCGUAAAGAGCGUGUAGGCGGCUUGGUAAGUCAGAUGUGAAAGCCCUGGGCUCAACCCGGGAAGUGCAUUUGAAACUGCCAGGCUCGAGUAGGGGAGAGGGAAGUGGAAUUCCUGGUGUAGAGGUGAAAUUCGUAGAUAUCAGGAGGAACACCGGUGGCGAAGGCGACUUCCUGGCCCUAUACUGACGCUGAGACGCGAAAGCGUGGGUAGCAAACAG